AAAGGUAGCAUAAUCAUUAGGGAUUUAAUUGGAACCUGGAAUGAAGGGUUGGACAAAGGAAAAACUGUCUUUAUAAUAAAAGUUGAAAUUUACUUUUAAGUGAAAAGGCUUAAAUAUAUCAAAGGGACGAUAAGACCCUAUAAAGCUUUAUAAAUAAUUUAAAUUUGGUUAAUAUAAAAAGUAAAGAAUAAAUUUGGUUGUUUUAUUUCAUUGGGGUGAUGUGAGUAUAAUUAUUGUUAACUGCUUAAAUAUAAUACUAUUAUAAAAGAAUUAUAAUAUUUAUGAUCCUUUUUAAAGAUUAAAAGAUCAAGUUACUUUAGGGAUAACAGCGUUAUUUCUUUUGAGAGUUCUUAUCGAAAAAGAAGAUUGCGACCUCGAUGUUGAAUUAAAAUAUCUAUAUAAUGCAGUCGUUAUAAAAGAGGGUCUGUUCGACCUUUAAAUU
rnacentral:rRNA from 1 species